UACGUAGGGACCAAGCGUUGUUCGGAUUUACUGGGCGUAAAGCGCGCGUAGGCGGCCUCGUAAGUCCGCUGUGAAAGUCAAAGGCUCAACCUUUGAAAGCCGGUGGAUACUGUGAGGCUAGAGUACGGAAGAGGCGAGUGGAAUUCCUGGUGUAGCGGUGGAAUGCGCAGAUAUCAGGAGGAACACCAAUAGCGAAGGCAGCUCGCUGGGACGUUACUGACACUGAGGCGCGAAAGCGUGGGGAGCGAACAGG
rnacentral:rRNA from 1 species